rnacentral:rRNA from 1 species
UAGAGUGUGAUAGAGGUAAGUGGAAUUUCUAGUGUAGAGGUGAAAUUCGUAGAUAUUAGAAAGAACACCAAAUGCGAAGGCAACUUACUGGGUCACUACUGACACUGAGGAGCGAAAGCAUGGGUAGCGAAGAGGAUUAGAUACCCUCGUAGUCCAUGCCGUAAACGAUGUGUGCUAGACGUUGGAAAUAUAUUUUUCAGUGUCGCAGCGAAAGCAUUAAGCACACCGCCUGGGGAGUACGACCGCAAGGUUAAAACUCAAAUGAAUUGACGGGGACCCGCACAAGCAGUGGAGCAUGUGGUUUAAUUCGAAGAUACGCGCAGAACCUUACCAACACUUGACAUGUUCGUCGCGAGACUAAGAGAUUAGUCUUUUCAGUUCGGCUGGACGAAACACAGGUGCUGCAUGGCUGUCGUCAGUUCGUGUCGUGAGAUGUUGGGUUAAGUCCCGCAACGAGCGCAACCCCUACUUUUAGUUGCCACCAUUUAGUUGGGCACUUUAAAAGAACUGCCAGUGAUAAGCUGGAGGAAGGUGGGGAUGACGUCAAGUCCUCAUGGCCCUUAUGUGUUGGGCUACACACGUGCUACAAUGGUACUUACAAUGGGAUGCAAAGAGGCGACUCUUAGCUAAUCCCUAAAAUGUACCUCAGUUCGGAUUGUACUCUGUAACUCGAGUGCAUGAAGCUGGAAUUGCUAGUAAUCGCGGAUCAGCGCGCCGCGGUGAAUACGUUCCCGGGUCUUGUACACACCGCCCGUCACACCAUGGAGGUUGGUUACACCUUAAGGCAAAGCUUAUACCUUUGACUACGGUACGAUCAGCAACUGGGGUGAAGUCGUAACAAGGUAAC